rnacentral:rRNA from 1 species
UACGGAGGGUGCAAACGUUGCUCGGAAUCAUUGGGCGUAAAGCGUGCGUAGGCGGUUCGGUAAGUCGGAUGUGAAAGCCCUGGGCUUAACCUAGGAAGUGCAUUCGAAACUGCCGGGCUAGAAUGUCGGAGAGGAUGGCGGAAUUCCCGGUGUAGAGGUGAAAUUCGUAGAUAUCGGGAGGAACACUUGUGGCGAAGGCGGCCAUCUGGACGAUGAUUGACGCUGAGUGCACGAAAGCGUGGGGAGCAAACAGG